rnacentral:rRNA from 1 species
CCCGCUGAACUUAAGCAUAUCAAUAAGCGGAGGAAAAGAAACCAACAGGGAUUGCCCUAGUAACGGCGAGUGAAGCGGCAACAGCUCAAAUUUGAAAUCUGGCCUCGGCCCGAGUUGUAAUUUGCAGAGGAUGUUUCUGGCGCGGUGCCUUCCGAGUUCCCUGGAACGGGACGCCACAGAGGGUGAGAGCCCCGUAUGGUUGGACACCAAGCCUGUGUGAAACUCCUUCGACGAGUCGAGUAGUUUGGGAAUGCUGCUCUAAAUGGGAGGUAAAUCUCUUCUAAAGCUAAAUACCGGCCAGAGACCGAUAGCGCACAAGUAGAGUGAUCGAAAGAUGAAAAGCACCUUGAAAAGGGGGUUAAACAGUACGUGAAAUUGUUGAAAGGGAAGCGCUCAUGACCAGACUUGUGCCGGGCGGUUCAUCCGGGGUUCUCCCCGGUGCACUCCGCCCGGCUCAGGCCAGCAUCGGUUCUCGUUGGGGGAUAAGAACGGUAGGAACGUGGCCCUCCCUCGGGAGGGUGUUAUAGCCUGCCGUACGAUACCCUGAUGGGGACCGAGGUUCGCGCUCCGCAAGGAUGCUGGCGUAAUGGUCAUCAGCGACCCGUCUUGAAACACGGACCAAGGAGUCGUCCAUUAGAGCGAGCGUUUGGGUGUAAAACCCGCACGCGUAAUGAAAGUGAAAUUAGGUGAGAGCUUCGGCGCAUCAUCGACCGAUCCUGAUGUUCUCGGAUGGAUUUGAGUAAGAGUUUUAACGGACGGACCCGAAAGACAGUGAACUAUGCUUGUAUAGGGUGAAGCCAGAGGAAACUCUGGUGGAGGCUCGCAGCGGUUCUGACGUGCAAAUCGAUCGUCAAAUAUGAGCAUGGGGGCGAAAGACUAAUCGAACUGUCUAGUAGCUGGUUACCGCC